rnacentral:rRNA from 1 species
CAGUCGCCGCGGUAAUACGGAGGGCGCGAGCGUUACCCGGAUUUACUGGGCGUAAAGGGCGUGUAGGCGGCCUGGGGCGUCCCAUGUGAAAGGCCACGGCUCAACCGUGGAGGAGCGUGGGAUACGCUCAGGCUAGAGGGUGGGAGAGGGUGGUGGAAUUCCCGGAGUAGCGGUGAAAUGCGCAGAUACCGGGAGGAACGCCGAUGGCGAAGGCAGCCACCUGGUCCACUUCUGACGCUGAGGCGCGAAAGCGUGGGGAGCAAACCGGAUUAGAUACCCCGGUAGUCCCUGUCUCUUAUAA